AGGUUUGCUCCUUAGGUGUUGGGACUUUGGUAAGUGUUCUUCACUUUGGUAAGGAUUGGCCGAAUGGGCCUUAGUAGGGAAGGGUGACUUAUGUUGGAUACAAGUCACCCAUUAUGUCUUUUUAACGAUAAAGGUUAAUGCAGAUCUGGGAAGUAAUCGUGAUUAGUGAUCAAAGAAAAGCUAUUAAGGCUUGGCGUUUCAGGUAAGGUUAAGGUGAGAUUUCAGCUUUUGGUAAAAGUAUUCGAUAAGUAUGUG
rnacentral:lncRNA from 1 species